rnacentral:lncRNA from 1 species
ACGGCAGAAAAUUAGGUGACAGGUCAAGAACAACAACGGGAAUAACGGAAAUAACGAAAAUAAGGAAAAUAACAGAAAUAACGGAAAGAACGGAAAGAACAGAAAGAACAGAAAGAAUGGAAAAUACGGAAAUAAUAACGGAAAUAACGGAAAUAACCUCCACAGGGACAGAAACAUACAGCAGAAAAUUAACUGACAGGUCAUGAACAACAACAGAAAUAACUGAAAUAAAGGAAAUAACGGAAAUAACCUCCGAAAGGCAUAAACAUACAGCAGAAAAUUAGUUGACAGGUCAAGAAGAACAAUGGAAAGAACGGAAAUAACGGAAAGAACCUCCAGAGAGAAAGAAAAAUACGGCAAAAAAUUUGGUGACAGGUCAAGAAGAACAACCGAAAUAACAGAAAAAACCAAAAUAACGGAAAUAAUAACGGAAAUAACAGAAAUAAUAACGGAAAUAGCGGAAAAAAUAACGGGAAUACUAAGAGAAAAAAAUAACGGAAAUAGUAACGGAAAUAACGGAUAUAACUGAAAUAACCGAAAUAACUCCACAGAGACAGAAACAUACGGCAGAAAAUUAGGUGACAGGUGAAGAACAACAACGGAAAUAACAGAAAAAAACAAAAUAACGGAAAUAGUAACGGAAAUACCAGAAACAAUUACGGAAAUACAAAAAAAUAAUAAGGCAAAUAAGAACGGAAAUAAGAGCAGAAAUAAUGGAAAUAAUAACGGAAAUAAUAACCUAAAUAACGGAAAUAACAGAAAUAACGGAAAUA